AGGAUGAACGCUAGCGGCAGGCCUAAUACAUGCAAGUCGAACGAGAUCAGAGACUUCGGUUUCUGGUUUAGUGGCGCACGGGUGCGUAACGCGUAUGCAACCUACCUUUUCCUGGGGGAUAGCCCGUCGAAAGACGGAUUAAUACCGCAUAACAUAACUGACCUGGCAUCGGGUUGUUAUCAAAGCUUUCGAGCGGGAGAAGAUGGGCAUGCGUGCCAUUAGCUAGUUGGCGGGGUAAAGGCCCACCAAGGCGACGAUGGCUAGGGGUUCUGAGAGGAUCGGUCCCCCACACUGGUACUGAGACACGGACCAGACUCCGUACGGGAGGCAGCAGGUAGGAAUAGUGGGCAAGUGGGACGAGAGCCUGACCCAGCCAUCGCCGCGUGCGAGGAAGAACGGCCUUCGUGUGUUAGUAAACUGUACCUUUAACCGAGGGAAACGAAACG
rnacentral:rRNA from 1 species